AAUCAACGCUGGCGGCGCGCUUAACACAUGCAAGUCGAACGAGAAAGCCCGCAAGGGUGAGUAAAGUGGCGUACGGGUGAGUAACACGUGGAUGAUCUACCUCUUGGCGGGGGAUACCUCUGGGAAACCGGAGACAAUACCGCAUAAGCUCGAGAGAGGAAAGCCGAAAGGCACCGAGAGAGGAGUCCGCGGCCGAUUAGCUAGUUGGCAGGGUAAAAGCCUACCAAGGCAAAGANCGGUAGCCGGCCUGAGAGGGCACACGGCCACACUGGCACUGAAACACGGGCCAGACUCCUACGGGAGGCAGCAGUGGGAAUCUUGCACAAUGGGGGAAACCCUGAUGCAGCGACGCCGCGUG
rnacentral:rRNA from 1 species